UGCUUAACACAUGCAAGUCGAACGGAAAGGCCAGUGCUUGCACUGGUACUCGAGUGGCGAACGGGUGAGUAACACGUGGGUGAUCUGCCUUGCACUCUGGGAUAAGCUUGGGAAACUGGGUCUAAUACCGGAUAGGAACCGUCUUUAGUGUGGUGGUUGGAAAGUUUUUUCGGUGCAAGAUGAGCUCGCGGCCUAUCAGCUUGUUGGUGGGGUAAUGGCCUACCAAGGCGUCGACGGGUAGCCGGCCUGAGAGGGUGUACGGCCACAUUGGGACUGAGAUACGGCCCAGACUCCUACGGGAGGCAGCAGUGGGGAAUAUUGCACAAUGGGCGGAAGCCUGAUGCAGCGACGCCGCGUGGGGGAUGACGGCCUUCGGGUUGUAAACUCCUUUCGACAGGGACGAAGCGUUAUGUGACGGUACCUGUAUAAGAAGCACCGGCUAACUACGUGC
rnacentral:rRNA from 1 species